rnacentral:tRNA from 1 species
GCCCCCGUAGCUCAGUGGAUAGAGUAGAGGACUUCUAAUCCUUUGGUCGCACGUUCAUAAUUUUAUGGGGGGAUCACCCCCAAACCCCCUGAGUGUCGGGGGCGCCA